rnacentral:rRNA from 1 species
UACGUAGGGGGCGAGCGUUGUCCGGAAUCAUUGGGCGUAAAGCGCGUGUAGGCGGCCCGGUAAGUCCGCUGUGAAAGUCCAGGGCUCAACCCUGGGAUGCCGGUGGAUACUGUCGGGCUCGAGUCCGGAAGAGGCGAGUGGAAUUCCUGGUGUAGCGGUGUAAUGCGCAGAUAUCAGGAGGAACACCAAUGGCGAAGGCAGCUCGCUGGGACGUGACUGACGCUGAGACGCGAAAGCGUGGGGAGCAAACAGG